rnacentral:rRNA from 1 species
UGAUAGUCCUGUAGGUUAAAGGGUGAGGCUCCUAGUCAUGUUCUUAAGUACCACGGGACACGAGGAAUCCUGUGGGAAGCUGGGGUGACCACACUCCAAGGCUAAAUACUCUUGGCGACCGAUAGUGAACAAGUACCGUGAGGGAAAGGUGAAAAGAACCCCGGGAGGGGAGUGAAAAGAUCUGAAACCGUGUGCCUACAAGCAGUCAAAGUCCGUCUUCGGGCGGAUGAUGGCGUGCCUAUUGAAGAAUGAGCCGACGAGUUAAUCUAUGUAGCUAGGUUAAGUCGCUCAGCGACGGAGCCGAAGCGAAAGCGAGUCCGAAUAAGGCGUUGUUCUUCUUCGGAAGGACAGGUUGCAUGGAUUAGACGCGAAGCCGGGUGAGCUACCCAUGGCCAGGGUGAAGGUCGCCUAAUAGCGACUGGAGGUCCGAACCUAUUAGUGAGGCAAAACUACAGGAUGAGUUGUGGGUAGGGGUGAAAUGCCAACCGAACUCGGAGAUAGCUCGUUCUCCCCGAAAUGUAUUGAGGUACAGCCUCGGGUGUUGAGUUGCGCAGGUAGGGCACUGGAUGGGCUAGGGGGCAAGUAAGCUUACCAAACUCAACCAAACCGCGAAUGGCGUAACUAGAAAGCCCGGGAGUGAGACGGUGGGGGCUAAGCUUCAUCGUCAAGAGGGAAACAGCCCAGACCAUCAGCUAAGGUCCCCAAGUGUAGGCUAAGUGGUAAAGGAGGUAGAAGCGCUCAGACAGCCAGGAUGUUGGCUUAGAGGCAGCCACCAUUUAAAGAGUGCGUAACAGCUCACUGGUCGAGUGAAUCUGCGCCGACAAUCCAGCGGGGCUCAAGCCUACCACCGAAGCUAUGGGUCCGAGGGAAGUGAGAAUGUCGGCAUGAGUAGCGUAAGGCGUGUGUGAAACACGCCCACCGGAUGCCUGAGGUUUCCUACGGAAGGUUAAUCCGCGUAGGGUUAGUCGGGCCUAAGCCGAGGGCGAAAGCCGUAGGCGAUGGACAACUGGUCAACAUUCCAGUACCGCUUAUUUUUUGUAACCUAAGGGGGGACACAGGAAGGUAGGUCAAGCGCACCCAUUGGACAUGGUGCGUCUCCGAUUGUAGGGGAAAGCUGAGGGGCAACCCGAGGCGAUUUGGCUGAGCCUACGCUGUCAAGAAAAUCCUCGUAGCUGAAGAAUGAGCGCCCGUACCGCAAACCGACUCUGGUAGGCGGGGAUGAGAGUCCCAAGGUGGUCGAGAGAACCCUCGUUAAGGAACUCGGCAAUCUAGCUCCGUAACUUCGGGAUAAGGAGCGCCUCGGGGUGUGAGAGGACUCGUUUUUUGAGCACCCUGGGGCCGCAGUGAACGGGCCCAAGCGACUGUUUAACAAAAACACAGGUCUCUGCUAAGGCGUAAGCCUACGUAUAGGGGCCGACACCUGCCCAGCGCCGGAAGGUUAAGGAGAUUUGUCAUGGCUCUUCGGAGCCGGCAGCAGAGAACCGAAGCCCCGGUAAGCGGCGGCCGUAACUAUAACGGUCCUAAGGUAGCGAAGUCCCUUGUCGGGUAAGUUCCGACCCGCACGAAUGGUGUAACGACUUGGGCGCUGUCUCAACGAGGAACUCGGCGAAAUUGAAAUACCCGUGAAGAUGCGGGUUACCCGCGACUGGACAAAAAGACCCCGUGGAGCUUUACUAUACCCUGGCAUUGAAUUGCGGCUUAGCAUGUGUAGAAUA